rnacentral:rRNA from 1 species
ACGCUCGACACCUACGGGGGCAGCAGUGGGGAAUAUUGCACAAUGGGGGAAACCCUGAUGCAGCGACGCCGCGUGAGCGAAGAAGUAUUUCGGUAUGUAAAGCUCUAUCAGCAGGGAAGAAACUGACGGUACCUGACUAAGAAGCACCGGCUAAAUACGUGUCAGCAGCCGCGGUAAUCUGAGCGGGCUGGCAAGGC